ensembl:lncRNA LINC01630 long intergenic non-protein coding RNA 1630
GCCAAUUGGAUAUGGGUAUUGUAGCUGAAACGUCUUGCGAGCUGAGUCAGGGUCGGGGAAGCUGUGAUGGCAAUGAGAAGUCAACACACUGAGGAUGGAGAGAAAGAAGAUGAGUCUGGGAGAGAAAGAGAAUGAUUCUUCUGGCCGAGGGAAAGCAAGAAUAUCUGUUCCUGCAACUGCACUGAUUCUAGAAACACUCUCUAUUCGAACUCUCAUGAGCUAAAGACUCUGCAGAUCAUAUCAUGGAGGAAUCAUUGUGUCCCAGGAAUUGCUAUAGUGGUGAUGGGGCAUGAAUCUUAAGAUGGACCGAAAAUGCUGACGCCAAUGCCAAGGAAAAAAGUGUCUUGAAAAAGCAGCCGUGGACGUGGAGUUACCAAAUCAUCCGAAGUGGCUCCUGGACCGGGUGGAGGAGCCAGGCUGCAGAAAUGCAGUUCAUCGCAGGAGUUUUCCUGAACAGAGAAAAGUCUCCACAGAAUAGCAAAAAUAGCAAAAACUCGAAGUCAAGGGUCUUGAGGUCUAAAUUUUCUGUGUGACCCCAGGGAAAUCGUUUCAUCUUUCUAGGUCUUCACAUCCUCACCUGAAAAAUAAAGUGCUUGGCUAAGAAA